UACGUAGAGUGCUAACGUUGUUCGGAAUUACUGGGCAUAAAGAGCUCGUAGGCGGCGCUGUAAGUCGGUUGUGAAAGCCCCUGGCUCAACCAGGGAAUCGCUUCCGAUACUGCAGUGCUUGAGUGUGGCAGGGGAGAGUGGAACUUCCAGUGGAGCGGUGAAAUGCGUAGAUAUUGGAAGGAACGCCAGCGGCGAAAGCGACUCUCUGGGCCAUAACUGACGCUGAGGAGCGAAAGCUAGGGUAGCGAACGGG
rnacentral:rRNA from 1 species